GUUGGGUUUACGCCUACACUGGUGAUACAGCAGCAGUUGCACGAGCUACAUGCCAAUUAGCGCCAAAUAAUUUCUGAUAAGGGAAGAAGUUCCACUCUCUUGAUACUUACUGCUUCUGAACUGGUUGUAGUUCCACCGGAGUUCCAAUUGGGGCGCUCACAGGCGAGUGCAGACUGAAUGGAACUCUAUGGAACUAUACCCCUCAAAAUCCCCUUUUCACAGGAUAUCAUUUUUUGCCUAGUAAUUUGAAUGUUGCAUUC